GUUUGAAAUUAACCCCUAGCCUCUGCAUCUAAGUCUUUGCUGUGUAAUUUUUUACUAAUUAGUACUGGCAUAAAUAGUUCUGUCAAAUGGAUACCACAUCGAUAUGAUGCUUUGGCCGUGGCUCUUGAGUCACCAGGGUGCAAGGCAGAAAUGCCUGCAUCCCCCAUGAUUGGAAGGUGUUAUAGUGGAACAACU
rnacentral:ncRNA from 2 species